AAAAUCGUAACAAGGUCUCCGUUGGUGAACCAGCGGAGGGAUCAUUACCGAGUUUUCAACUCCCAAACCCACUGUGAACGCUACCAGACGUUGCCUCGGCGGGACCGCCCCGGCGCCCCCUCCCCCCUGGGUCUCCAGGGGGGUGGCGGCCCGGAACCAGGCGCCCGCCGGAGGACCAAAACUCUUUCUCUUACAGCGGCAUUCUCUCUGAGUACACAAGAAUUCAAUGAAUCAAAACUUUCAACAACGGAUCUCUUGGCUCUGGCAUCGAUGAAGAACGCAGCGAAAUGCGAUAAGUAAUGUGAAUUGCAGAAUUCAGUGAAUCAUCGAAUCUUUGAACGCACAUUGCGCCCGCCAGCAUUCUGGCGGGCAUGCCUGUCCGAGCGUCAUUUCAACCCUCGAGCCCCCCGCUGGGGGGCUCGGUGUUGGGGGACGGCCCUCACCCGGCCGCCCCCGAAAUGCAGUGGCGACCUCGCCGCAGCCUCCCCUGCGCAGUAACGCACAAGCCUCGCACCGGAGCGCGGAGACGGUCACGCCGUGAAACGCCCAACUUUUUAGAAGUUGACCUCGGAUCAGGUAGGGAUACCCGCUGAACUUAAGCAUAUCAUAA
rnacentral:rRNA from 1 species